ACGCUAUAAUGUUUAAAGCUGAUGAGAGUGAUGCCGGUAUUGGCUUCUACAUCAAUCCACAGUAGGCCGGCUUCAACUUAUGUUUAUAAUGGACCUAAAAUUUACUCAACAAGACAGUUUUGUUUAUGUUAAUUACCUCAUUUUGUCAAACCAAAACGUAUAUUGGAAUCCAGUUUGAUGGUAUAAUAGCAAUAAACGUACUGGUUAAAAGUGCAUUCGACUAGCGUAUUUGCUUACCGGCUUCUGACGUAUUGUUUUCUAUUUACAACGCUAAUAAUUGAUUUUUUUUCAGGAAAGAGGACGAUUGUGACAUAACAGUUUUAAAAGCUGGGGACAAAAUUUGUUUUCCAUAUGGGGACAAAAUUUGUUUUCCACACCUUAUAUCGCACCACGCCAUAGUAGAGCCCCUAGAGCUCUAUGAAAGGGAGGCUGCACAUGCUGUCAAAAUAGCACUUAUAGGGAAAAUGGAAGUCGGCAAAACAAGCUUAAUUAACGCUCUUCUUGGCCGUAAACAAUACGAACAAGGAGAGCUACGAGAGCUGGGAACACAGUUUGUCUUUGGCCUUGAUGACUUGCGAGACUUGUGUGAUGAAAGUUUUGUUUUAAGAAAUAAACGCACGAAUUGUUCUGUUUGUUUGCCAAAUUCGAUACGUCAACAUAUAUUCCUUAUUGACACUCACGAACCGCACCUGUACGACUUCGGUAAACUGGCUAUCGCUAUCAUAAAUGCCAGAAAAAGGAAAAAACCAGACGUUCACAAAACUAAUAGUUUGUGGUAUAAGUUGUGAUACAUUUAUAUUUUUGACUUUUAUUUGACUUUUCUUCUUACAGUGUAAAAAACAAUUUUAAAAGCAUUUCCAUGGUUUGUAGUAAACAUUAUUUAUUAUUAUUCACGUAGUUCAUUGAAAGAUGUGCAUUAUACUUUGCACUCAUCUGUUGUUUUUUUAUGUUGUGUGCAAAAAUACAUCCACUUAGUUGGUUAACACAUAUUGAUGUUUCCAUAUGUAUGUGCGUUCUUAAACAAAAUGUGUAAAUAUAUGUAUGAAAAAUUGAUUCCAAAAUAAAAAACAAAGAUUCCUAACGGUCCCAUAAAGAUACUUCUUAAUGAUGUAUAAUACGUUAAAAUUAUUAACAUUUGUUUAGCUGCUAAGCUUAUAUAAUGUCUGUUUUUUUAUUAUAUUAUUAUUUGUAGGCUAAUGUAUCAGCUGUGAUCAACAUGUUUGCAUAGUGUCAUAUAAAGUGUUAUUAUAUUAGUAACAUUUUCACUUGCUACAAUGUGACGUCACUAUAUCAAAUUCUUGUGUUUAAGUUUAUUCAUCUUACCGAUACAGACAACGGAUAAAAACAGAUGCAGUAUUUAAAUCAAUAUACUGAACGAAUAUGUUUAUACGGAAAGGUAUUUCAUUUAAAUGUUCUGUGGCAAUUAAUACGAUACUAAUUUUAAUGUAUAUAGGUUUAAUAUCAAUCUUCACAAUGGCAUUGUAAAAUAUGAUUGAUGGCUAUUUCUGUGCUUUUUAUUAUCGUUUUAUUUUCAUUUACUUUGUUUCGCUACAAUGUCUUUAUUUUAGUUAUAUACUGAUACUAAGAACUUUUGAACUUGUGAACAUGGUCAUUUCCGAAGUAGCAUAAUGGUAUUACAUAUCAGUAAGAAAAACAAUCAGAAAGGCCUAGUAUUUAUUUCAUGAUUGCUAAAAGGUAAUAUCUCAUUCAUUUAAUAUACGCUAAUUUUAUAUUCGUAUGUCGCCCAUGUGUACAUAAAUGUAUUAAAUUUAUAUAAUUCUAAAAUAAAAUGAAAUACUUUAGUUAUUUUAGAAAUAAAUUAAUGUGAACUUAUUAUUUAUUUACAUACGCAUUAAUUAAUUCAUCUUAUCAUUUAUAAAGUACAUUUAUUCAAAAGUACUAUUGUUUUAUGAAAUGUAUUCUUUUAUGUAAAUAUGUUUUAGAAAAACAGUUUGUCCAUUUCAAAUAUACUUGUGAAUUAUAAUGUAUGUUUCAACUUAAAUGCAUUUUAACUCUUAAACUUUCCUUAACAUACUAAGGUUGUACUUACUUAGUAUGUAUGGUUAUUCGCAAUUUUGACGUUGUAUUGUUAGACUGUAUUUUGAACGAAUCAACUUAAAUGAAGUGUGUAUAUGUUGUAAUUAAAAGUUAAAAUGUAUUAAGUAAUUUCAUUAAAAUAUUCAAUACUGUU